rnacentral:rRNA from 1 species
UGCGGAGGAAAAGAAACCAACUGGGAUUACCUUAGUAACGGCGAGUGAAGCGGUAAAAGCUCAAAUUUGAAAUCUGGUACUUUCAGUGCCCGAGUUGUAAUUUGUAGAAUUUGUCUUUGAUUAGGUCCUUGUCUAUGUUCCUUGGAACAGGACGUCAUAGAGGGUGAGAAUCCCGUUUGGCGAGGAUACCUUUUCUCUGUAAGACUUUUUCGAAGAGUCGAGUUGUUUGGGAAUGCAGCUCAAAGUGGGUGGUAAAUUCCAUCUAAAGCUAAAUAUUGGCGAGAGACCGAUAGCGAACAAGUACAGUGAUGGAAAGAUGAAAAGAACUUUGAAAAGAGAGUGAAAAAGUACGUGAAAUUGUUGAAAGGGAAGGGCAUUUGAUCAGACAUGGUGUUUUUUGCAUGCACUCGCCUCUCGUGGGCUUGGGCCUCUCAAAAAUUUCACUGGGCCAACAUCAAUUCUGGCAGCAGGAUAAAUCAUUAAGAAUGUAGCUACUUCGGUAGUGUUAUAGCUUUUUGGAAUACUGUUAGCCGGGAUUGAGGACUGCGCUUCGGCAAGGAUGUUGGCAUAAUGGUUAAAUGCCGCCCGUCUUGA